CACCUGACCCCAUGCCGAACUCAGAAGUGAAACGCCGUAGCGCCGAUGGUAGUGUGGGGUCUCCCCAUGUGAGAGUAGGGAACUGCCAGGC
rnacentral:rRNA from 20 species